AUUAACGCUAGCGGCAGGCAUAAUACAUGCAAGUUGAACGGCAGCACAGGUAGCAAUACCGGGUGGCGAGUGGCGCACGGGUGCGUAACACGUAUGCAACCUACCCUAUACAGGCGAAUAACCUUUAGAAAUGAGGGCGAAUACGCCGUGGUAUUAUCUUGGGGCAUCUUGAGAUAAUUAAAGAUUUAUCGGUAUAGGAUGGGCAUGCGUCCCAUUAGUUAGUUGGUAGGGUAACGGCCUACCAAGGCGAUGAUGGGUAGGGG
rnacentral:rRNA from 1 species